rnacentral:lncRNA from 1 species
CGCGGUCGGCCCACAGGCUGGGCACUAACGGGUCCCGGGGCGCCGGGGCGGACUGCGGCGGUGAGCGCGGCUGCAGGCCGCGGUGAGGGGCGGGAAGAGCGCAGCUGCGAGCAGGCGGGCGGAGGGUAGCGGGAAGCCCGGGCGGAGGGGGCGGCGUGAGAGCCUCGGGGCGGGGGCGGGGCCUGGCGCGUCCGCCGAGCGCGGGGGUUUGUUUAUUUUCCCGGUUGGUAGCGGCGCUGGCGCUGGUUAGAGGUUCGCCGGUGACGUGAGCGCCCGAGUUGGGGGAGAGGACCAGAACCACCUGCUGGAGAAAGGGAGCUACGGGGGCCGGGCAGGGUCCAAACGCCUCACGUGGGCGGCGGCGCCACGGUCUUCGGGGUCACAGGGAAGAGAAGGGCUCUCCUCAAGCGGGUGGAAGGAGGGAGGCCUCCCGAGGGAAUGAGACUCCAGGCCACUCCCCCGCAGCAAGGCAGGAUCACCUGCGUCGCGGAGAGCAGUUAGAGGUCCCUGGAGUGGAAAAGGGCAGUGGGACCUGGUAGCUUGGGUUCCCUGCAACUUGGGGUUCGACCUCCAGGCAAUGAAGUAGGGAUGGUCCUGCAAGUCAAGAUUCCAGUAGCAAGAGUGCAUCAGAUCUCUGUAAGGAAAAUAACUAACAUUGCUCAGUUCCCUGUAGAGUUGCAGGGCGCUUUGACGUUAUCUCCCUUGGUUCUCCAUCAGGUCGUAGUGGACUAAUUUUACAGGCGAAGUUAAGUGACUUACCCAAAACCUCACAGCUAAUAAACGGCAGAGCCGGCACCCAGCUGUACUGGCUUCCAGCGCAUCCCAUUAUCUCCAUAAAUCCCCCUGAUUCAACUAAUAUUAGACGCCCCACAGAGUCUCGCUGCUCAAAACGUGGUCAGUGGCCCAGCAGCACUGACAUGAGGACCUUAGUUGGAAACUCAGAAUCUCAGGCUCCACCCCAGACCUGCUGAACCAGCAUCUUCAACUUAACAAGAACCCGAAGAGAUUUGUGCCACAUCAAAAAGUUUGAGAAGCUCUGAUCUAGCUGGACCCUGGACACGGUGACUCUGAUUCAAUUAUGCAGAUGACCACAAGCCUCUGGGGUUGGCAGAGCCACAAGAAAGAAGGUGCCUGGAUGAAGGAGAGCUACCCACUGACCUGGACACCCAAUUAUAGGAUAGACAGUGAAGUGCAACUACAGCCCGCAAAUGAAAAUGAAUAAAAUUAAUCCAGCCCCUCAAGGCAGUCAUCUGUCUUAGAGCUAUUGGAAUCCUGGAUCAUUGUGGGAAAUGAAAAUUUUACAGGUGUGACACCAUGAAGUCGUCCCACAUUUCCCACAACCUGAAUUUGGGAUGACAGUCGACUGAGAUUUUGUAAACUGAUUAUCAUCUGUUUCUGUUUUAUUCUCAUUACCUAACAUAUGCCCACUGGGGGGUGCUAAAGAACUAUGAAUUGGAGGUCUGGAUGCCCAUUUUAAUUCUUCUGAAAGCAUGCCUCCUUCUGGCUUCAGGACUCCAUCUCCAGCCUUAUGAUCUAAAAAUAAUCCCCAAACCAAAAAAUUAGAUAUUAUUUCCUCAAAAUUAGGUGUUUUAAUCAAAACAUCUUAACAUAAAUACAUUAUUAUCACCCAAUAUGCAUAAUGUUGUUCAACUUUUUUGUUAAAUGACUUAUUUUAGAUGAACAGAUGUGUGAAUAUGAAUAUUUUUAUUUCACUUACAGGCAUCUUGCAUGUGAAUAACUCACAACUUUAAUUCAUGGAACAAAUUGAGAAAUAGUCUUUUGGGGGUUUGGUACUCCCUGGAAACAUAAGAGUGCUUUGGGCACCUCUGGUGCCUUUCCAUGCCUGCCUUCUCUGCUGUUCUUGCUACUAGUGAAUUCUAAAUCAUGGCCAAGUGAUGCCAGCACUGGAUAAUAUUGGCUCUGCCCCAUAUCUCGAGGGAAAACUCUGGGACUUGGCAUUAUAUGUGUGGGAAUCUGGCCUUGGUUGGCACUCCCAGCAUGAUAGCAGGGUUCUGCUGUCUGAAUGUACUCUGGGGUGUGCGCCACAAUUUCUGUCAUCGAAAUGGAGAUGAGAGAAUAUGCCCUUGGUGGGGACACCCCACUGGAAUUAGAGUGAAGAGAUCAAAGCUAGAGGUUCUUAAAUCAAAGAAUGUCUAAUAGCAAAGACAAAAACUUGCUUAAGAGAAAUGCAUACAGGUACUAGACCUAAUAUGAUGAAAAAUGCUAACUUCAACAUAUUGAUGCAUGCUUAGUAUACUUUUAGUCCUGCAAAGACAAAAGUUUUUUGUUUGUUUUUUUUUGAGACGGAGUCUCGCUCUGUCGCCCAGGUUGGAGUGCAGUGGUGUGAUCUCGGCUUACUGCAAGCUCUGCCUCCUGGGUUCACACCAUUCUCCUGCCUCAGCCUCCGGAGUAGCUGGGACUACAGGCGCCCGCCACCACGCCCGGCUAAUUUUUUGUAUUUUUAGUAGAGAUGGGGUUUCACCGUGUUAGCCAGGAUGGUCUCGAUCUCCUGACCUCAGGUGAUCCGCCUGCCUUGGCCUCCCAAAGUGCUGGGAUUACAGGCAUGAGCCACCGCACCUGGCCCAGUCCUGCCAAGACAAAGUUUUAAAACACAGGUUGCACAUUGGCAGCUCUCAAGCCAAAUCUGGCCCAUAGACAUGGUUUGCUUGGCCUAUAAUGUUAGUAAUACUUGACCCAAGAUUUAAAAUUUGAAAAGUUUCAUAUAAAAAUAUAGAUUUACAGCUUUUCUAGAAAAACUAUAAGAGUUAACAGUUUCUGAAUUGCAACAGCAGCUGGAACACCGUUGCCACUGACCAUUUAGAUGACUGCUGCAGUCCCCACGGCUCACUCUGGUUCAGGUAGGGGUUCUAGUUUGUAACCCCUGGUUUAAAACAUAACUGACUCUCUAGUUUUUAAAAUUCUCUCAAAAUCAAAUAACCUGAACUAGCAAAUGAUCUAGAUCCUCGUACAUGGAACUCAUACUAAGUUGACCACAGACAGUGGCUCCCAAACUCUGCAGUACAUCAGAGUCACUGGGAAGCUUUAAAAAAUCCUGCUCCCUAGCUGGGUGCAGUGGUUUAUGCCUGUAGCCCCAGCUACUUGAGAGGCUGAGGUGGGAGGAUUGCUCAAGCCCAGGAGUUUGAGGCUGCAGUGAGCCAUGAAUGUACCACUACACUCCAGCCUGGGCAACAGAGCAAGACCCCAACUCUAAAAAAAAAUCCUGCUCCCCAGGUGACAGUAUCUGGGGGAAGGAGUAAGGCAUCUUAUUUUCAAAAGAUCAUAAGAAAAGAGGCUCAUUGCUGAGGCUCACUCCGGAGCCCACUUGGAUUCUUCACAAGAAAGUUUCCCUCUUCCAGAAUUUUAUAAUUGAGGGAACCGACUAGGGAAAGAUUAAUUUGCCCAAGGUCAAACAACUAGUAAAAGAAGUAAGGAUUCCAACCCAGAUCUUUUGACUCUAUUAUCCUUACAUAUAGUUUUAUAGUGAUUUAAAUUGAUACAAGGAUAGGUUUAAAUACAAGUAGAAUGCAGGUUCAUAUAAAACUGAUUUUAUCCUCAUGUUAGAAAACAUAUACACUGUAACAGAGGGAUGACCAUCAAGUGACCAAGAUAUUUUAGUCAAAAGAUGAAUUUUUCUGCAAUUGGAGAAUGCCAAAAAUAUUCAAAGAAAAUAUAAGUCUUGUAGGCAGUCUUCUAUCAAAACCCACUGAACCGCUGGGCACGGUGGCUCAUGCCUGUAAUUCCAGCACUUUGGGAGGCCAAGGCUGGUGGAUCACCUGAGGUCAGGAGUUUGAGACCAGCCUGGCCGACAUGGUCUCUACUAAAAAUACAAAAAAUUAGCUGGGCCUGGUGGCGGCACCUGUAAUCCCAGCUACUGAGGAGGCUGAGGCAGGAGAAUUGUUUGAACCUUGGAGGUAGAGGCUGCAGUGAGCUGAGAUAGCACCACUGCACUCCAGCCUGGGUAACAAGAGUGAAACUCCAUUCAAAAACAAAAAACAAACAAAAAAAAAACAAUGCACCAAAUACUAAGUUAUUAACUAGGAUACUGAUUAUUAAGCAUGUAAAACAUUUUAUGGAACUCAGAGUUUGAUGUAAAUUGCUAUAUUUUAUAAUUCAAACAAACCUUGUUUCAUGUCAUUAUAUUAGAGUAGCAUUAUGAGACAGGAUAUAGUGUAAGCUAUAUCCCCAAUAUAAUUGCAACUGUAUAUUUUAAAGCAUGGGGAAAAUAUGAAAAGAAUUAUGCUCAAAUGUGGGUAGGAUUAUAACUGAUUUGUUUUCUUCAUUUUCAGAUUUUUCUAUAAUGACUAUACAUUAUUUUUAUAGUCAAAAAUAGAAGUAUUUUAAAUGUUUCUAGGUAGAAUAGCAAAUUAGCUGAAAUAGUAUCUCCAACGUUAUUAUCAAGACUAGACUCCUUGGGUAAAUUGGUCAGAACAGUGUUGUUCUCAUUUUACACCUCUCCAAGAUUAACUAUGUUUUAGAUUUGUGUGUGUGUUUGGUUAAAGAGCCAGGAUGAAGAUCCAGAGUUCUUAAACCUGUAUACCACCAUACUACAUUGUCAUUUUAAAGAAAUGUCUAGUAGACUCGGUGGCAUAAACAUGGGCCAUUUACAAACUAGAUGUCUAAUAUCAGAUACCUCAAAUUUGACAGUAGACUUUUUUUCAAAGCUAAAGUGGUCUUAUGUUGACUAUUUUGUUUCUUACUUGAUACUUGUUUACUUUUUAAUUUUUGGCAAGUAAUGUUUCAAGUUAAAGUUUUAGCUAUAUAUAGCAGGCAGUAUUUCAAGUAAAUGAGUUACAUCAGUAAACACCUCUGUAUUACUAAACUGAGAAUCAGAAAAUGUAAUCUCUUUGGCAGGAUUCGUAUGUUUGUAUCACGUCUUUAUCCUCAGGCAACUUUUAUCUUGGAAUACUGAACCAGCAGUCAGAAUAUGAGGGACAUUAGACUGUGUUAUAGUUACUGUUCUGUCCUUAAGUCACUUGCCUUCUCUAAGUGUCAGUUGCCUCAUCUGAAAAUGGAGUUAGCAGACCCCAGCCUAUCCUGAGUUUGAGGGCUAAAGGGAAUUAUUCUUGAAAAUGUCUAUACAUGAUAAAUGUCACAAAUAUAACUUAGCAUUUUUUUUUUGAGACAGAGUUUCGCUCUUGUGGCCCAGGUCGGGGUGCAAUGUCGUGAUCUCAGCUCACUGCAACCUCUGCCUCCCGGGUUCAAGCGAUUCUCCUGCCUCAGCCUCCUGAGUAGCUGGGAUUACAGGCAUGCACCACCACACCUGGCUAAUUUUGUAUUUUUUAAUAGAGACGGGGUUUCACCAUGUUGGUCAGGUUGGUCUCGAACUCCUACCCUCCGGUGAUCCACCCGCCUUGGCCUCCCAAAGUGCUGGGAUUACAGGCAUGAGCCACCGCACCUAGCCAAUUCUACUUCUAUUACAUUUUCAGCAUAUAUCACUUCAUUGCUCCUCCAUAUUAUUUUUCACUGGUCUUCUUACAUCUUGUGUGCCCAUAUUUAAGUAGUUUUCUUUCCAGGUAAAAAAUACAUGUGUGCCUAAAAGAUUUUAAAGUCAACUUUUCAUAAACCAUACCUAAAUUAUCAAAGUUAUUAGAAUUAUUAGAAAGUAUUAGCUAAUUCUUUUAUAAAAUGUAGACUUUAUUAUUUUAGAAAUAUUGAUUCCUCUCUAUUCAGCUAUCUUAAAGAGGGUAUAUUUUAAUCAUCGCAAUAUAUUACCUUCAUAGUAUUUUUUACUUUUGCAAAGUAUAUUUUGUCAUGUUAUUUCAUUUAGGAAUGCACUAAAUCUACAUAUCUACAUAUGAUUAUACAAGGAAACAUCUUUGUCUCAAAAAUGGGUUCUAUUACAUUUUUUAAUUUCCAGGGGUCAUGAUAUAUAAAAAGACCUGAUUUAUCUUAAAAAUACAUACUUUUAUUCUUACCUACCAUACAUCUUUUUUUGUGAUAAUCAGAAGGCUUAAUUUACUAUAAAAUAGGAAAACAACAGCUAUGUUAGAUUAUAUAGUUAAUUUAGGGAUUAAAUGAGUUAAGGUCUACAAGCCCCUGGCACAUGGCAGACAAUCAAUAAUUGAUCAUUUCCUUUGCAUCUAUAAAUUUGUUCAUUCACUUCUCAUGUGGUUCUACCUUAGACAACGAUUUUUGUUUACAGAGACAAAUAGAAGUAUCUAAUCCUAAAUAACCCAAUCAAUUGGUAAAGGCUACACUACAAAGCUGGCAUGACUUCACCAAAUGCUAGAGAAACAGUGUUAAGAGUGACAACACUAAAAGUCUUACACUCUGAUGAUGCUAGUUGCCGCCGAAUUGCUUCCCCUACCAGUUCCUUAAGUUUCUUCUUAUGAUCCCGGCUGGUUUUCUUAUAGAAAUAAAGAUCUUUUUCCAACUGCUGGAUUUUAUCUUCAUAUGUUUUGAAAGUUUCCAUAAUGCCUUCUCCAUCUUGUUCUAUACAACAAAAAUUUGCAUUUAAAAUCAGUUUUAAAUAAAUGAUGCAAAAUUAUGUUUUUGUUUGUUUCUUUGUCUUUUUGAAACGGAGUCUUGCACUGUCGCCCAGGCUAGAGUGCAGUGGCGUGAUAUGCUCGGCUCACUGUAAGCUCCGCCACCCAGGUUCACACCAUUCUCCUGCCUCCGCCUCCCAAGUAGCUGGGACUACAGGUGCCCAGCACCACGCCCGGCUAAUUUUUUUGUAUUUUUAGUAGAGACGAGGUUUCAUCAUGUUAGCCAGGAUGGUCUCGAUCUCCUGACCUCGUGAACUGCC